GCGAGGGUGGGAUGGUUUGUGCUGGGUUUCUGGCAGUGACACAGUCUCAGGGAUGGAGAGAUUCAUCCGGCUCUCCCUACACCAGCCAUUUCUACGGCAGCGGGAGGGGACCAAGCGGUAUUGCUAAUUCUCGCUAGAACACAACCAGGCUGACAGUUCCCCCGCUCUAGGCCUGAUGGGUGAAUCCAGGCAUCUUGGCGCUCUGCUGACAUCAUGGAAAAUCUUAGCUGCAUGGCCGCAGAGCACACACUUGCCAAUUAGCAGGGGAGCCCACAGAGGAAAGAGAAGCCAGAAGAGGGAUCAGACCUCCUGGAACUGGAGUUACAGAUGGUUGUGAGUCACCAUGUCGGGGCUGGGAACUGAACCCAGAUCCUCUGGAAGAGCGUCCAGUGUUCUUAACUGCUGAGCCACCUCUCUGGCCCCUUCACAGGUCUGCAGCCCACAGAACGGUGCCAUCCACAUCCAGGGACAAUCUCCCUACCUCAGUUAACCCGCUCUAGAAGCCCCCUCACAGACACGCACUGAGGCUGGUGCCCUAGCCUGGCUCCCUCCUGCUUCCCCUGAAUUCUAGAAAGGACGCUGGGCUGCUGGGCCGCCAGCUGCCUGCUGUUCCUCCUGAUUCAUCGCAGCCCAGGUUCUGGCCUCCUGCACAGAAGCAACCCCAGACUCCAGAACUCCAGACUCCAACCCCAGAAGCACGUCCUGACUCGGCUGGUCAGACGUCCGGUGCUUGAGAUCAAAUCCCAACCCCAUCGCUGUUUUGCUGUGAGAUGCUGGGGAGAAUGGGGUGUGUGGAGGAGACUAGAAGACAGCUGAUUGUGAGCUCUGCAGCUUGGGAGUGUGACUGUGGGAAGGUGACUUCAAGGAUGGGUGUCGCCAACCCCACCCCUUGCCUGCUCUUUUGGUUCUAAAAGGCCAGCCAUCAGAGACCACCUCAGCAGCAGCAGCAGCCCUAGGAAGUGGUGACAGACAGACUCAUGAAGGAGCUCUCCUCAUCUGCGACACCCAGACUCACCCUGAAGGAAGAAACUAACCCUGGUAGGAUGGCGGAUGCUGAGAUGUGGGUUCCAAGAUCAUUUAGCCCAAGCUGAGAAGACUCUGAGCUGGUCUGCCUAGGGCUCUAACUCCAUGUCCUGCGUGCCUAGUGGUCACAGGUGUCCCCUUAACAAUGCUUCUAAAGGGACUCGCUGACUGGUUUCUUUCUAGGGACCCUAGGGGCUUCACUAAUAGAGACUAGAGGUCGCUGUCAGCAGGACUGGCUCUUGGAAGACUUGGUCCCAAGCUGUUUUCCUUAGUUUAGGUGGCUGUUUGACGCCGCCCUGCUUCCGGCCUCUCUCCCCAGGGGCCAGAGCUGCAGCCCUUGUUUUGGACCUUCCUGAUCCUGAGAAAAUGCAUGCAGAACUCUCCACGAAAGAUACCCUGACGCUGCACUGUCGAGCAUUAAUAACUUAGCUAUUUUUGGAUUCACAAUAAGGAUCGAUACCCCUGGGGCCAUUAAAAUGCCACCAUAAGUGUUCACAUCAUUUUUUUUUUUUUUUUUUUGGGUGAGCAGAGCUUUGGAGAAAGAAUGGAAGGAAACUAGAAAACAGACAGACUUCUGAAAGCACGUGGAGACAGCCAGUGCUUCCUUCUCUCUCCGAGAGCAAAAUUGGGGUCAAGUGACACUUCCUGAACGUGGAGUGUGUCCCCUCUCAGGUCACCGUCUGAGGCACUUUCUCAUCUGACACUCACAGCAGCCCUAAACUAGACAGACACUGCGUAUUUACACUUUGGAUUUGAGCCCUCUAGGGGAGUGGGAGGGAUGGAGGGAAGGAGCCAGGCAGGGGGUGGAGUGGGGGAGAGGAUGCUUCUCAGGAAGGAAUGGGGGAGGGGGAGGGGACGCAGAACCUUCUGGCUCUGAUGCUAACCUCACAUACCCAGAAGAUGGCUGUACAUCCUCAAGAAGCCCAAAGGGAUAGCAAUGUAUCCGCCAUCUAUCCCCGUAACCUGAAAGCUUUUGAAAUGUCAAGCUGGCUUCCCUCUGCUUGUCCCCCCACUCCCACCCCCCCAGCAAACCUCAGUGGAGCUGUGCUCAUAAGGUGAAUCCUUAGUUUCCCUCCCUCUUUGAGGUGGGUCCCCCUGCCUUGCUGCUCAGGGGGUCCCUCUGCUCCCUUUUAUUAGAAAGAGAUGGUUCAGGGUCACCUUGGGAUUGCAGCACUGAGGCACCUUAAACGUUUUACCCAACACUCUGCCCUGGGGACAGGAAUUUCCUUUUCAGUUUCUCUCCCGUGACAGAUUCUUAUCUUAUUCCCAAUUCUGCCUCCCACCCUCAUCCCUCCUGGUUGAGAAAUUCACACUUGGGGUUGGGGAUUUAGCUCAGUGGUAGAGCGAUUGCCUAGCAAGUGCAAGGCCCUGGGUUCGGUCUCCAGCUCCGAAAAGAAAGAAAAAAGAAAAAAAAAAAAAAGAGAGAGAAAUUCACACUUUCUGCCAGGUGCUUUGCAGUCCCCCCUCCUCCAAAUCCAGGUGCAAAGUUCCCCUGUCCACUCAGGCUGGGGCAGCUCGGUGGCCUGCAGGCACCUGGAGCCCAGUCCCUCAGACCUGUGCUCAUGAGUUAGAAAGUUAACCAGCCAAAUGCUUGCCAUUGCAAACAUGAGGACCUGAGUUCAGAUGCUGAGGUCCAAAGCGCUGACGAGCUCACGCUCCAGAGAGCUGACCUUCUUCCCACCCAGGGUGGGCCACAGAGUCCUGACUUGUUCCUGCUCCACCAAUCCCCAGCGAGAGCUUCCACAUGGCCCGUACGCCCUCCCUCCCCCUAGUGAGACUCCGGGUUAGUCAGCAGGAGGUAGCCAUUGUGGCAUCUACAAUGGGUCAUGUGGCCAGCAUGCCUAUAGGCCUCCUCUCUGUUUCCAGGUCUCACACAAAAUCUUUAACCGUUGUGAUGAAUAGAUUUUUUCCCCCUCCUUCCUGCAGCCCUACCUGAGCUGCGGGCCAUAGGUCAGGAUAAAGGGUCAGACACAGAAUCCCUCGCUACCGCCUCCCAGAAAGCAAAAGCAAAAGUCAGUCCACCAAAAUGACUCGGUGUCAGGCCCAGCACACCUCAGGGGCUUAUUUUAUCUCUACAUAACAGCAGGGGUUGACAGCCCCUCUGCAUUCCGAUGAGACUACGUGGGCCGGGGAGGUGGGGUGGGGGGUGGAGGGACUUCCUGCAGGAAAGAGGAGGUAAACGGGUGGGGCCAACCCUAGGCAUCUCGGGAUGUGGAGCUAUGAGCUCUCCCUUGUUUGGCAAGGCUCUCUCUGUGGCUUUCCCUCCACUAUGCCCAGCAGCAGGAGGGCAUGGAUCUGACUGCUGGCUGGUCUCCAUGGCAACAGCAGAGGAGCCAGCUAGCGUCAGAUGGUGGCAGAGCUGUCAGCCUCAAGCUGCCUUGGAGUAAAAGCUGGACGUGUCAGGGUCUGCAGGGGGUGGGAGGGGGGAGAGAGAGAAAGAGAGAGAGAGAGAGAGAGAGAGAGAGAGAGAGAGAGAGAGAGAGAUCCCUCCUCAGUGGCCUGUCCUGUGGUGGAUGGAGUCUUGUUCUUUGCUGGAGAGGUUUGUUUUUUUCAUGUAUGUCCUGGACAUAUCUCUUGCCUUGGACACAGGCAUAUAAGGAUCUGGCCCCCAAGGGAAUACAGUCCAGGGAAGGAAGCUAGCUGAUUGCCAGGUCGUCCCCAGUCUAAGACUGAAGAGCUGAUGGUGCACCUCUGGGGCACUGUGUAAGCCCUGAGAGAGGUGGCUCCUCUCUGUAUACCAGGCUCAGGGAAAGGACAGAAGGAUGUCUCUGGGGGUGUCCCUAAAGAACCAACAGUCCAUUAGAGAAGAAUGGGGCUAAUGGAUCCGGGUUUCCGUGGGAGAAGGACAGGGAUGGAUGGACAGUGGGUUUGUCUGUUGGGGGUCUGCAGUAUCAGGCGCUCUUCACAGAGAUGGGCAGGGGAGUGUGGUGGGCUUGUCUCGGAGUCCAGAGUAGAAGGGGGAAAGAUGCCCCAGGCUAGACCUUGGGCAAUAGGAAAAUGUGCUCUCCUCGGGACACUAAACUGGGCUUCCUUACCUCCUACAUUACAGUAAGGAAGCUGAGGCCCAGGUCGAUGCCCUGCAUAGAGCAGAGAGUGGGACCCCAGCCUUGACCUAGACAGCUGGUUCAAGGAAGGGAUAGUCCCUCAUGCUGAGAUUCCUCCCCCUCCCAACCUCGCACCUAAACUUAGGGGUUCAGUAGAGUGUGUGGAUCUGCCAGGGUUGGCUAGCUGCCUGUCUCAGGGACUCUCCUAUGGAAGGAUCUUCGACCCCCAAGGAUGGUAAUGUACAGUGGACUCCUGGGGGCUGUGUGCAGGUCUCUGGCUGCUGGUUGAUUAACUGCUUCUGGGUGUGGGGCUCCAGCCCUCCUCUCUUCUCCCUUUCUCCUCAGGUUUGCCACACACGUACAUUCGCACCCGUGAGCAUACAUCUGUACACACACUUGAAUACACUCCGUUUGCACACUUUUGCACCACCCCAGCACCUUUGCACACCACACACCCUGUGCAUCUAUGUACUCGCACACGUGCAUGUGCACAGUCGCACAUCUCAUGCACACACCUGCACACACCGCAAAUGCACAUCCAUAAGCACGAGUGUGCUGGGACAUGCACACAGUGGUCUGUGCCUGUCUGCCACUGUUCUCUCUUCUGUUCCUCCUACAUUAUCUUCCCUUACUGGAAAACUCUGGGCCUGGGGCCGUCUCUCUGUCUCCCCAAUACUGGACUGGUUCACAUCUUACCUGGAGCUGGUUGCAACCAAGAGGCGGUGCUGAGAGGAAGCCAUGUUAAGGGCUUUGUGGAAGGAGUGUAAGAGGCUACACUGGGACAGCCUGUACCUUCCAGGCUGACCUGGCCCUCUCUCCUUUUGGUAUUAUCCUCUGGGUCUUUAAGAAAGCAAAUGCUCAAAGGUGGAUCCUGCUGGCCUCCAGGACUUCCCCAGGGCCUGGGCAGGGUACCUUUGAUAUAAAUGGCCUCCAGGAGUUGAGUAGUAUGAGGUAGCCUGACCAAGUGUCAGCCCAGGGCCUCCCUGCGGCUUUUGCUUUUUACUUGGCUCUGCCUCUGUCUCAGGCAGGAGGCCAGGCCUCAAAAGUCAGAGGUUCCUGUCUGAGCAGUGGGGCACUCAUCCUCCAUCACCACACCUGCCAGCUGUGGCAGAGCUGCCAUGCCUGACCGGGCAGGGCCUACCUGCAAGAUAAUGCCAAGCUUGGAACACAGGCCUUCCUGGCCACCUACUGUGCACUGGGCACUGUUCCAAGUGUGUUCUGGGUGGUGACUAGGGCAGAGAUUCGGAGGGAGUGUCAUAUUUCGUCGAUCAUGCAGUUCAUGUGACACGGCUAGAACAGCGAACCAAUAUGAUUCGACUUGAACCCCAGGCAGCCUGGCUCCAUGCUCUCACCACUGAGCCAUCCAGUCUCGCCCCGAGGCUUGCUGGCCUCAUCCUCCUCUGUUCCCAGGCAGACAAGCACAAGCACCCCAUUCAUUUCAGCAGCAGUCUGGCCCAGCUCCCUUGCUUCCAUGACGGGCAUCCAGGGACAUCUCACCUCCAUGAGAGGCCUCCUCCAGUCAGCUCCCCACACCCUGCCAGGAUCUGAUUUUCCCUCUGUGUGGAGGGAGAGGUGCCAGAAGGGUCAGUUUGGGGCGAAGGAGGGAGAUGUUUUGGGGUACACUUGCUUGGCCUUCCAGUGAGGGAGCAGGUAUCUGCUGGCUCUUCUGCAGAACGGGGGCGGGGGUCUGUUUGGUAAUCAGAUCUGGACAGAAUCUGUCCCACAAGAAUGCUGCACCCCACGCUAGACCUCCUUCCCUCAUCCCUCAGGUUGUCUUGCUUUUGGGCAGGCAAGAAAAGUUCUGUUGACCAGUUCUCUCAGACCCUGGUUAGGGAUAGUGCUCACCACACCCAGGAGAUCUGUGGUGCCCGUUUUGGUCUCCCAAGGGUCAGAAGUGUCCCUGGAGAUCAGACCUCAGCCUAACUCACUGGUGCCUCUGUUCAGCAAGGGUGCAGGGAGGCCGUUUCCUGGCCCCCACCCAGGAGGCAUUGGAUCUUGGUUUCUCUGGUGCCAAGGGAAGCACUUGCCAGGGGAGCAUCCGCUGUGCAUGAAUGGGUGCACACACGGGUGUCCGCACAUCCUUUCUGAUCCUCAUUUUCUCUCCUUUCAUGGGAACUUUCCCCACAUUAAGAGCAUUUUGAAAAAGUUGACAGAGGAGAAGGAGCGGAGAAGGAUGAAAGGUUGAGCCAACCUCCAUCCUCAUCGAACCUCAGAAGGGAAGUGCGACCGGAAAUCCUCUGAGUUCCCUCUGCUGAACAGCGGGACAGGGAGUGCACGGAGGACUCGGUGCACCUGAGUGCAUGCAUACAAGCCGUGUGGGUGCUGGAGCCUGCAGGGGUCAGAAGAUUGGUGGGAGCCACUGGAACUGGAGUUCCAGGUGGAUGUGAGCCAGCCUGGGUGCUGGGAGCUGGACCCUCCUUCCUCUGCAAGAGAGCAACGUGUACUCUUAACUGCUGGGCUUUCUCUCAUUCGCACAGGACCUCUUCUGAGCUGGGCUGCACCUGGGAUGAAGCAGCAGGACCAUAAAGGGACCAGCGCCAUGAGUCAGGGCUUGAAGCAUAAUUGCACAUAAUUAAAUAUUUAAAUGUUGCCACGGGACUGGGGGAGACAUUUCUUCAGGUAAAGGCACUUGUCCUGAAAGCCUAGAGACUCGAGCUCAUCCCUGGAACCCAUGUAAAGGUGGAAAUUGUUCUCUGACCUCCACGUGUGUGCCAGCACCAAAUGAUAUUUUUUUUCAAAAGUUGCCACUUAGUCGUGUGGCGUGAUGCUAGCCAGAAAUGGAAAGAGCAGAGGCAUAGAUACGGUCAGCAACAAAGGACCUUCAAAGCGUUCGUAGAGAAAGAAGCCAGAGGCUAACAGAAUUCUAGAAAUCCAAGACAGGAACUGUGGUGGCCCCAGGCCAUGAUGGGUGGACUGGAGAGGACUGGGGGUAAGAUACUUUCGACCUUGACCUUGGAAAUAGUCUCACAACCAUACACAGGAAGCCCAAAUCUGUCAGAUGAACCCUUAAGACUGGUGACUUUUAGCCAGGCAUUGAGGCUCAACUUUUAUCCCAGCACUCCGGUGGCAGCUCUAAGCUGGAGGCCAGCCUGGUCUACAGAGCUAGUUCUAGGAUAACCAGGGUUACACGGAGAAACCCUGCCUGGGGUUUGGGGGUUGGGAGGGCGACUAAUGACUUUUAUAGCAUGUGCAGUCUCACCUCAAUGAUAUUUUGUUUCAUUUUCUGAAAGCGGCUGUUUGAUGAACUCCUGAGCUCUAGGCCAGAGCUGGGACAGUCAGCUCCAGGGUUUCAGGACUCCAGUCUUCCCUACUCUUCCUUCCUCAGGAGGUCACUCAGUGUCCAGUUCACUGCUCACGUCUUAGCCUUUCCCCUCUGAACUUCUAUGCGUUUGACCCUAGAUUUUUACAAAUCUGAGAUGGGCCAGGGUUGGCCUCAGAAACGUCCAGGCAGGAACCCAGGACACUUGUCCUGAAGCAAGACCUAUGCUCGCCCCGCCCUGCCCCUGCCACGCGCCCCGCCCCCACCCCGCCCCGCGCCCCCAGCACAUCUGUCAUGCAUUUCUCUUGGGAGAUGCUACAAGGUGAGCAGGAAGAAAGCUGUUUGGGUGAGGAUUUUGAAGGACCAGAAACCAUGGAAACCGCUCAGAACCACCGCUUCCCCCACCCCUCCCAGCCAGGCUGCAUCCUCUACGAUGCUCUGUUAUCAUUGGAUGGCGGUGUGCGCCUCUCCCUAAAGUGACUGUGACUUUUAUUUAUUUUUUCCCCAGGGCGCAUCUCCUCCUCUCUCUUGCACUCUUUCACGGGCUACUCUACUCGCAAGUCCUGUGCUGGAAGCUGCAAGGUCAGUAGGAAAAAGGCACAAGGCUUUUGUUUUUUGGCUUCCGGUACUCCGGGCUUUACUCUAGGGCCCUGCGCUGGCUGCUGGGGCCAGAGUUGAUGUUGGAAGCUGGCAGCAGAGCCUGGGGUUGUGAGCAGCAGAGAGGGAGGUUGCUGCCUCGCCACAGGUGCGAUGAUUGCAGAAGUAACUCUCCUUUCCGCUCCCCUCUGAGAAGCCGUCUGAGGGCUGAAGGCUCGGUGGGCUCUAUAGGUUGCUCGUGAACAUCAAGGACCUGGGGUAGGCUGAAUCGCCCUAAGUUAUCUCUUCUAUAAGUGUAUUGUGUCGGUUGUGCAUCCUUACCUGAAUACGAGGGUUAGAUGUGUUCUGGAUUUCAAGUUUUCCAGUUUUAACCUAUUUGCAUAAACUCAGCCGGUUAGGCACCGCCCCCAUCUGCAGCUACAGAGCCCACAGCACUCGCGUCCGAGGCCAAGGGCUCAGCCUGAGUGAGCGUCACCAGCCCCGCCCCCCAGCUCCAUCCGGUACAUCUCUGACUCCUCUCCUUCCGUGGACUGGUAAUUGGAGGGAGGGUUCCAGCCGUGAUAGCUCAGCGGAGUUGGAACGCCAGCUUUCUCAUCAGCUUGUUCAUAUAAAUUGGUGAGCUCUGGGUUCAGAGAGAGACCAUUACUCCAAAAAUGAGACGAAGAGUGGGAGAGAUGGAUGGGGCGAAUGAGCUCACUGCCAAGCCUAGAGACUUGUGUUUUAUCCCUGGGCUCCUCAUAGUAGAAGGAGAAAUGACUCACCAGUUGUCCCUCUGACUUCCAUCCUUUUGCCUUCCCAACCGUAAAAGGGGAGAUGUGAUUGAAAAAUAGGACUGACAUCCACCUCUGGUCUUCACAUACAUAUAUGUACACAUGCACACGCAUGCAUACACACAGAUACAUGCACAUGCAUGCACGCGUGGGACCACACACUCACACAAAGAAUCCCUUACAUUAGCCUCUGUCCUGAUACGUUUUGUUUGUUUGUUUGUUUGAGACAGGGUCUCAUGCAGCCCAGGCUGGCUUCUGACUCACUGGGAAGCAGGGUUUAGCCUCAAACUCUAAUCCUGCCUCCUCUGCCUCUGAAGUGUUGAGAUUCAGGUGUUCACACACAUGCCUGGCUUUUCCUGAUCGUGUUUAUAUCCUGCCUGGAAAGCUGACAGACGGUACAGACGUCAUUCCGCUUCACAGCAGGAGAAAGCAGACCCUGGACAGAGUUUGGGUUACAGGUCUGAGUCUGGGGCCCAGAACCCUGCUUUAGGCUCUGCCAGGCUGGGUUGAUUUUUGGAUUGAAGGAUCCUUUUCCUUGGAAAGUCAUGACAUGAGCAAGGGAAGCCAUUACGACAUAAGGGUGGUCAUAGAAAGACAGGAUUGUCUGUCUUUCUUCCAGGGGCAAGUUCCAGCUCCCUGAACAGUUUACACACAUGCGUACGCAUGCACACGUGCAUACACACACACAAACACACGCAUGCACGCACAUGCUUUGGGAUCGGAUCCAUUCCUGGGAGAGUGUGUGCAUAUCGGCUGAGUUUGGCACCCCUGGUGUUUGUUUCUUCUGCUGCUGUGUGCUCUGUCUUACAUGUGUUCCCACCAUGAGAUGCUACUUGUGUGAGACCCUCACUGGAGGCUGACAGGGUGAUGUGCUCCCAGACCUCCAAAACUUGAACUAAAUAAACCUCUUCUCUUUAUAAUUUUCCAGCCUCAGACCUUUUGUGAUAGUAACACUCAAUGGACGAAGACACUCAUUAUGCCACCAAAGUCAUUCUAGUGAGGUUGUAAAAUGACUCUCUUUUUUGACUUAAAAAUGGAACCAUCAAAGGGUGGUGGUUGUAUACACCUUUAAUCCCAGCACUGGGGUGGGAAGAGAACUACUCUUUUGUAUUCUGAUCUAAAAUAAAAAUCAAUAGAAACUCAUUUUAUUAUUGUCACGGUUUGAAAGUGAACGGUGUCCAGUUGGUGGAACUGUUUGGGAAGGAUUAGGAGGUGUGGCCUUGUUAGAGGAGGUGUGCCAUUCAGGGCAGUCUUUGAGGUUUCAAAAGCCCAUAAAGUUCCAGUUAGCUCUCUCAUCCUGUUAAGGAUGUAGGCCCUCAGCUUACUCAUCAAUCACCAGGCCUGCCUUCUGCCUGCUGUGCUCCCACCACCAUGAUGGUCAUAGACUCCAAGCCUCUGCAACUAUGAGUCCCAAAUUAAACCUUUUUUUAUAUGUAAGUUGCCAUGGUCAUGGUGUUUUGUCACAGCAAUUGAAACAUAGCUAUGACAAUUAUCUUGCUGUUCUACGAUCUGUCUGGGCUCAGCUGGGAGGGCCUAGAGCUGCAGCCAGGAACAUAUCUGACCAGGACUGGUACUAGUGCUGAGUGUUGGUUGGUCACUUGGCCAGGGCUGAGAUCGGAGGGACUCUACCCUUCCCAGGAUGUUCUGAGAGAAAAGACUCUAAGUCAGUAGCUCUCAGCCUUCCAGUUCCUUGUGGUAUGGUGACACCCAACCAUAAAAAUUAUUUUCGUUGCUACUUCCUAUCUUUAAUUUUGCUAUUGUUACGAAGUGUACUGUAAAUAUCUGAUAUGAGACCCCUGUGAAAAUAUCUGAUAUGAGACUCCUGUGAAAGGGUCACUUGACCCACAAAGGGGUCACUGCCCUAAGCCAUCCCAGAAGGAAAGAGGGGAUAAGGGAGGAAGUAGGAGAGGCUGGGUGUCACAUCGUCGCUUUGCAGUGCUCUUGGCUGUCUGGUUCCAGUGGACUGUCAGAGGCUCACUGAACUGGCAGACCUGUCUUUAGUCGAGGUCCCGCCCUCAGCUUCCUUUCUCAGAUUUCUCUCCUACCCUGCCCUGCCCCCUGCCUUUCCUACUAAACUUCUCUCCUUCAGCUUCCGCUCGGUUCCCCCUUGCCUCAUUUCUCUUGGGACGCCAUCUGCUGUUCCCAAUCUCACCUGUGCAGAGGACCCUCUUGGGCCAACCUAUAGCCAAGCCAGAGUGACAGUCCAAGCUGUCCUGCCCCUUUUCUGACCUGAGGCAGAAUUAACCACCUCCCUCAGAGAGUGCUGAGGCAAAUCUUGCUGUCUGCGCUCCAACUCUCUCCUGUGUGGUCCCUCUACAUCUAGCUCCCAGGCUUCCCCCUCAGGAGAGGCCCUCCUAGCAGCCUUAGAGGACAGAACAACCACCACCUGGGUCAUCAGAAGCCAUGCCUGGAAGUCCCAGAGGGAGUGAGAGGAAGAAAUGCCAGGGUCCCGGGCUUUCUGGGGAAGCAGAGAGAGGACUGGUUAAAAUAAAGAUGGGAGGUAGGGUCCGCAGCCCAGCUCGUUUGGAAACCACACUGGUGCAAGCUGAGAGGCCCCAGGAAUGGCAUGAUCUUCAAACCCUUCUGGAAUUUAGACCGCACAUCCUUGGACAUUGUGAGCCAGGAGAUGGUGCUCCUGUGUGGAGGUGGACACGAGGGAAGCAGGGCAGAAAGUCGCCCCUACCUGAAGCAUCCAGAGUCUCUGCUGGACUCAGUAGGGUCUCUGCAUUAGUUCUAGGAGCAAAUCUUGUCUGCUGAAUACUUGUGAGGAGGAUCCUGUCCUCUCCUUCCCUCAUUCUCUUCCAACCAGCCAGGACCAGCAAGCCAAGUGCAGGCUCUCGGAGCCCGUGUCCCAUUUCGAAGUCUGUUUACUCUGCAAAAUUAAUCCCUUGGAUGCCUGGAGAAACAGGACUCAUAUUAAACAAAGACCUGACUCUGGAUUCUGCACACUAAGCUCUGCGGUGGAAGCUUUUAGUGUAUGCAGUCAGGAAAACAAUGCCCCAGGCUCAGCUUGUGCAUCCUCUGUGCGUGACCUCUGAGGUAUGGGGGCACAGCCUUCAAUACAUCAUAGUAAUGGGUCACAUGCAUGCCUUCCAGAUGUGACGCUACAACCACAGUGGAGAAAGAGACCCAGUGGUAGUGGAGAAAGAGACCCAGUGGUAGUUUGGAAUAAGUGGCUAGGAUCAAACAACCAUCACUGUUGAACAAGAUCGUAUGUGUGUGUGUGUGUGUGUGUGUGUGUGUGUGUUCAUUUGUGUGUAUGUAUAUGUAUGUGUGUCUGUCUUUGUGUGUAUGUGUGUGUGUGUGUGGUUUUUUAAAAGAAUUAUUUAUUAUAUAUAAGUACACUGUAGCUGUCUUCAGACACACCAGAAGAGGGCAUCAGCUCUCAUUACAGAUGGUUGUGAGCCACCAUGCAGUUGCUGGGAAUUGAACUCAGGACCUCUGGAAGAGCAAUCAGUGCUCUUAACCACUUUGCCAUCUCUCCAACCCCCUUUGUGUGCAUGCCUCUCUCUCUCUCUCUCUCUCUCUCUCUCUCUCUCUCUCUCUCUCUCUGUGUGUGUGUGUGUGUGUUUGUCUCUACCAAGGUCUUCCUAGGAAGCCUGUGAAGCCACUAAGUACUGGGAUGUAGCUUGGUCGUUGGAGCACUUGCACAGAGGAGGCCCUGAGUUUGAUCCCUAGCACUGCACAAACCAGACAAAGUGGCACAGGCCUGUGAUCCUAGCACUCAGUCACUUAAGAAUUGGGGGGGGCAGGAUGAUCAAGAGAUUGAGGCUGUGGUGGUUUGAAUGAGAAUGACCCCCCAUAGGCUCAUCUGAAUGCUUGGUCUACAGCUGGUGGAACCAUUUGGGAAGGAUUAGGGGGCGUGGCCUUUCUGCAGAAGGUGCAUUACUGAAGGUGAGCAUAGAGGUUUCCAAAGCCCACGUCAUCCUCAGUUAGCUCUUUGCCUCCUGGCCGUCUUAACAUGUGAGCUCCUGUGCACACCUGCGUGUUCCCUUCCUUGCUCCAUGACUUGGUGAUCGUGGACUCUCUCUCUGAAGUUGUAAGCCAGUCCCCAGUAAACUCUUUCUUCUAUAAGUUGCCUUGGCGAUGGCGUCUCUUCACAAUAAUAGAAAGGUCACUAAGACAAUAGUCAUUCUCACACACAGUGAGUUUGAGACCAGUCUAGGCGUCACGAGAGACAGUAUCUCAACACAGAACGGGUGAACGAGUAGUACCAGCAAAAUAAAGACCACUGGAAGGCCACGUGGUACUGCGGUCACAAAUACUCUGAUGUGCAGUGAGCAUAGGUAGCAUGUGGGAUAUGAAUGCCCCUGGGCUCUUGGCCUGCUCUGCAUGCAUCUGUGGAGGUUUGAAUGAAAAUGGCCCCCAUAGCCUCAUAGAGAAUGGCACUGUUAGGAGGUGUGGUCUUGUUGAAGGACUUGUGUCACUGGGGGUGGGCUUUGAGGUUUUGCUUUUAAGUGAUCAAGCCAGACCCAGAGUCUCUCUUGCUCUGUCUUCAGUUCCGGAUGUAGAACUCUCAAUUCCCCCAGCACCAUGUUUGCCUGUGCCUAGCCAAGCUUCCCGCCAUGAUCAUGCUGGACUAAACCUCUGUAAGCCAGCCCCAAUUAAAUGUUUUUCUUUAUAAGAGUUUUAGUGGUCAUGGUGCCACUUCAUGCAAUAAAUCCCUCAGAUAACUACUAUGACCCAGGUCAUCUUCUCUUUCCCUGUUUGUGUCAGCAGUGAAUUGGAACUAGGGUAAGGGCUGUAUGUUAAGGUCGAACUCCAGAACCUCAAAAUGUGGCUGUUUAGAGAUAGAGCUUUCCGAGUGUUGACUUAGUUAUAAUAAGACAACCAGGGCAAGCCAGAACUCAUGGGUACUUUUACAGGAGGAGGAAGUUUUUUUCACACAGAGAGACACCAAGUAUGCAUGUGAGGACACAGUGAAGGACUGUCCCCAAGCCUGGGAAGGAAGCCUGUGCUGGUUAGACUAUAUUGUCAGUUUAACCUAACCUAGAGCCACCUGGGAAAUACAUCAGAUUGGCCUAUGACCAUGAGAGAUUGUCUUGAUUGACAAUUGGGUAAGCAAGGGCCAAGCCCACCAUGGGCAGCACCAUCCCCUAGGCAUGUGGGUCUUGGCUGAAUCAGAAAGGUGGCUGGGCAUGAGCUAAAAGAAGAAGGCAGCGGGCCAUAUUCUUCCAUGAUUCCUACCCUGAAUUCCCUUCAUGAUGGACUGUGACCUAGAAGUGUAAACUGAAAUAAACCCUUACCUCCUCAA